rnacentral:rRNA from 1 species
GGCGGACGGGUGAGUAACACGUGGGUAACCUGCCUGUAAGAUUGGGAUAACUCCGGGAAACCGGAGCUAAUACCGGAUAACAUUUUGAACCGCAUGGUUCAAAAUUGAAAGACGGCUUUUAGCUGUCACUUACAGAUGGACCCGCGGCGCAUUAGCUAGUUGGUGAGGUAACGGCUCACCAAGGCGACGAUGCGUAGCCGACCUGAGAGGGUGAUCGGCCACACUGGGACUGAGACACGGCCCAGACUCCUACGGGAGGCAGCAGUAGGGAAUCUUCCGCAAUGGACGAAAGUCUGACGGAGCAACGCCGCGUGAACGAUGAAGGCCUUCGGGUCGUAAAGUUCUGUUGUUAGGGAAGAACAAGUACCAGAGUAACUGCUGGUACCUUGACGGUACCUAACCAGAAAGCCACGGCUAACUACGUGCCAGCAGCCGCGGUAAUACGUAGGUGGCAAGCGUUGUCCGGAAUUAUUGGGCGUAAAGCGCGCGCAGGCGGUUUCUUAAGUCUGAUGUGAAAG